rnacentral:rRNA from 1 species
CGCUGGCGGCAGGCCUAACACAUGCAAGUCGAGCGCGCCUUUCGGGGUGAGCGGCGGACGGGUUAGUAACGCGUGGGAACGUACCCUUUUCUGCGGAAUAGCCUCUGGAAACGGAGAGUAAUACCGCAUACGCCCUUUGGGGGAAAGAUUUAUCGGAGAAGGAUCGGCCCGCGUUAGAUUAGAUAGUUGGUGGGGUAACGGCUUACCAAGUCUACGAUCUAUAGCUGGUUUUAGAGGAUGAUCAGCAACACUGGGACUGAGACACGGCCCAGACUCCUACGGGAGGCAGCGGUGGGGAAUCUUGGACAAUGGGCGCAAGCCUGAUCCAGCCAUGCCGCGUGAGUGAAGAAAGCCUUAGGGUCGUAAAGCUCUUUCGCCUGUGAUGAUAUGACAGUAGCAGGUAAAGAAAACCCCGGCUACUCGUGCCAGCAGCCGCGGUAAUACGGAGGGGUUAGCGUUGAAGCC